rnacentral:lncRNA from 1 species
UGCAGUACCGAGCUUUUUGAUAAGAACUGACAGAACCUUGUCCAGUGGAUCCAUGACUCCUCUUUGAAGCCAUUUAGGAAUAGUAGUCCUAGCAUGAUGAAAGCCCAAUUUUUGAAGAAUAUAAUCAACACCUACUGGAUCAAUCUUUCUUCCAGUCCAAGAAAUUAAUCUAAAAAAUCAUGAAGAAACAUGAUGAGCUCAGCAUCCAUAGUCACACAAAUGUGGUCAGUGAACUCUGUCACCACACUACAUUCUACUUUUGGCUUCAGGCUGGCAUCUCUCCUGUGGUUCUUGAACAUGAAUGGAUUUAAAGUCAAGCUGCAUCCUUGGUAAUGCAAAGAUAGUCUCUGUUUCAUGGUUGUAGAUUUUCUGAGCUUCAGUCCAAAAAGCAAUAUUUGGUUCUUCUAAAUGAAAAAGGGCCCAAGAUUUUGAACGAAAAUUUGGACCAUGAAAACAUGCCAGUGUCAUAUGAUUUCCAUGUAAGCUCAUUGAUCCUCCAAAUUGCAUUCCAUCUUCUGGUAAUGGAAUCUGAAAUAAGGAUAUGUGGCAUCCUGAUACCACCUUCAAUACUCCAGGCCAGUGUCGAUGAUGUGCUGCAUCAAGUACUGCAAGAAAAGUCAUUGUCUUUGGCGGAAGGUAAGGAACUGGUCCCCAGGUAGACAGAGCUCGUUUGCUGGUAUCAAAUUGUUGUGUGAAAAAUUCCUGGAGCUUCAUUCCUAUUUUUAUCAGAUCUGGUGUGGUUGACCUUGAUAUCAUUACUUGGAAAAUAUCCCACUUCAAAUCUCCAUGGACGAAAAUCUCACU